UUAAGGUAGCCAAAUGCCUCG
rnacentral:snRNA from 1 species